CGGGUUUGUGUCGGUGUUGCUCAUCUGGGCAGGAAAUCGCACACGCCAAGCACAACGCCCAGUGAUUUGGCCUGUCGCGACACAAUUGCCGACCCUUUUUUUUUCCUCCCGCAAAGGAAUGGCCAAAGUGCAAUAGGCGUGUCCUUUUUUUUCGUGAUCAUGCAAGGCAAGUGUGCGCCCUUUCUGUGCCGACACCGCCGCAGAAGGGGCGGUUUUGUGCGCACCCCGUUUUUUGCCACCAAAGAGGCUGAGAUAUUAAAAAAAAGUUGUUGGGCUGUCGUGUGGAGAAACCUCCUCCUCUUUUUUUUCCCCCACACCCACACAACGGUCUAGCCCCUGAUAAAGAACUCACCGUCGCCGUGCACCCAUCCUGCUACGGUACCCUCCUCGCCGGCGGCCAGCACAAUGGCAGCCCCCAAUACAAAGCCGUCUGCUUAUAUUUUGUUUGCCAUGCGAGACAGGGAUUUGUUUAUACUCUUUACCAUGCACUGGAGGCGAUAGUCUUUAAAGUCAAAUGGGCAGCCGCGGCCGGCUAGGUAGCACUCGAUCGCAUGGUAGUCCCACGCCGCCGCCCGUGCGCGUGCCCUACCGUCAACCGGGCAGCGGCGGUUGCACAGGUAGCGCACGGUUUCAGCGUGCCCGUUGCCGGCCGCGAGCGCACACGCAUCGGCGUCGAAUGGGAUGCCGGCAGACCUGGCCCGUGACAGUGCCUCGACGUGGCCGUUUUGUGCGGCCUCCUGCAUGGCCUCUGUGGUCCACGCGAUGCCGUGCUGCACCAGCAAGUCGAUGACGGCCAUAUUGCCCUUUGCGGCAGCGCGCACCAUGAGGCCAGGGUCGAGCGAGGCUCCGGCACAGAGAGCACACUCUAGGCACUGAACGCGUCCGCGCUCGACCGAAUGUGUAGCGACGCGGUCGGCCACGCGCGGGUCGAUGGCACAUACGAGGCCGACUGCAUCGAUCCAGCCGCACUUGACCACCUUUUCCACCGUCCGAUUGUCGGCGACAAUACCGCGGCCGAGCAGGUACAUGACAAUCUUUCUCUGGCGUCGAAAUGCCGCCGUAUAAAGAUCGCUCGAUGAUCCUUGGAUGGCAAAUGUCUCGCAGAGGUAACGCACAAGACUGACAUUGCCUGUCCAGAUCACGCGCCAUAGUGGAAGGUCAAACUGCAGGCCAUGCUCCUCAACGAGGUACCGGACGAUGGCCGUCUGCCCAGCCUCAACAGCGCGGUGCAACACACGGGUGUUGGGGACGGCUCCCGCUUCGCAUAGGCGUCGGACGAGUCCGAGGUGGCCACCGGUGGCGGCGCGUUUGCACAGAUAGGCGCCCUCUGGACCAACAACGUUGGCCGAGGUCGCGUCGAGUAUGUCCUCGUGACCGUUGCGCGCGGCCCGCAGGUUGCAUGUACCGCGGGUAUCACAGCCAUUGUCAAACGCAUAGACGAAACAAUCAAGGCGGCCGUUGGCGGCGGCCACGCGCGUCGUGUUGCGAUCCCACGGGCAGCCGCCGCGGUGUGCAAACACAAGGCAAUCCUUGUGGCCCUCUCUCGCCGCCGAUUGGCAUGUAGUGGCGGCCCAUGCGAGGCCGAGAUCACGGUGGGCAUAGGCGAGACAAGAAACAUGGCCCGCCGCAGCAGCGGCGUCGCACCACCGACUCGGGCGCUUCAUGGUCUUGGCCAUGUCGAUGCACAUUGCGCGCCCGCCCCGUGCCGUCGUGUCGCCGGCCACGUCGCGCCACCGACGGCACACCAGAGGCAGCGCAGACCGCAGAACGAAACACGACAGGUGCACAAACACGGCGCACAAGAGUUCAUCGGGCAGCACGUCGAUCAUGUUGAUUGCGCUCGACUCUGCGAUGGAAACAAAAAGGCCGAGGGCAUGGGCCUGCUCGUUGUUUCUGGCCCUUUUGUGUGACUGGCCAAAAGAAGUGCGUCUCUGUGCGCGGCUCACACGCAACACCGCCAUGUGUUUGCCGCAUUGGUCACAAUCGCGAGGCGCGCUCAUUUUGUUUGCCCGCUUUGCCGGUUGGACGAGAGGCGAUAUUCGGCCGUGUGCCAAGUCGCGCCAUUCCCUCGACAAGAAUAAAAAACAGUUUUUUCGGUC
rnacentral:lncRNA from 1 species